UACAGAGGGUGCAAGCGUUAUUCGGAAUUACUGGGCGUAAAGCGUGCGCAGACGGUUGCGCAAGUCAGAUGUGAAAGCCCCGGGCUCAACCUGGGAAUUGCAUUUGAGACUGCGUAGCUAGGGUGCGGAAGAGGGAAGCGGAAUUUCCGGUGUAGCGGUGAAAUGCGUAGAUAUCGGAAGGAACACCAGUGGCGAAAGCGGCUUCCUGGGCCAGCACCGACGUUCAGGCACGAAAGCGUGGGGAGCAAACAGG
rnacentral:rRNA from 1 species